AUGGACCCAAAGGAGUUGGGGAAACAUGAUGUCCUUUCCAAUAAUGCUUGUUUUGUGAUGGUUCCAAUGAUAUUAUUAGCUUUUCAACUGGAGACUUUUAGCAAGCAAUGCAUUUUCAGCAAUGGACAGAUUUUUUAUUUGUCUUUCAAUUUCUUCUUUCCUGCUUCUUGGGGUUUCUUCUGUUCUGGUCUACUGUCCUAUGCAGUCAUUACAAUUCUGCGCUUACAAUGGCAGUAGUAUAUUGCUGCCAUCAAGGUGAGUUAUGGAGCAGAAGUGGGAGGUGAGAGUGCUGAAAUAGAUAAAGAAGGGCAUUCUCUCAGCUCUCAUACUGAUCAUGCUUUGAGCUGGAAGCUCGUAAGGAGGGCUAAUACCGAGACACUGAUUGCGCGACAGUUACAUUUUACAUUUUGGAGAUCCA
rnacentral:lncRNA from 1 species